GGGAGGGAAGGAGGGUAGGAGAGAGUUAAAGAGGGAAGAAAGGAGGGAGGGAAGGAGGAGGGAAGGAAAGAAGGAAAGAGAAAAAGACACCUCCAGCCUGGGGCGCCCGCGGAAACUCCUGGACAGAGGACGCCCCACUCUCAGGUCGGUAGGGAGGCGGUGAGAGAGACUCUGUACCCCCCACCCCCCCCCAGCCCCGCAGCCCUAGGCCCGCGGAGGGAGACGGGAGAGAGUCUGGGGCGCCGGGCACGGCCAGGGGGCAGCGACAGCAGUUUUGGGCUCCACCAGAGCGGGGCCCGCGGCUCCGCGCCCCGACGCCCCGCUCUCCCCGCCUCCCUGUUUGUACCGGAGACUCUUUGGGAGAUUCAAUGCGGAUUUUCACCGUGACCGCGCGGCCCUUCUCCUGAGGGGGGAGGACAAACACUCAGAACCCGCACAAGCCAAGGACUCACUGCACAGGAAAAGUCUCCACCCCAAGCCCAGCGACACAGACUAGGCUCCAACGGUCUUCACUCUGACUUGUUCAGGCCCACCACUCAAGGACCAGACCAAAGGUGAACCUGGGAGGACAUCACUGGAGACACUACUGAGAUUAGAAAGAAUGAUGAAAGGAUCUAUGCGUAAUAUUAAGGGGGAGAUUUGGACAUGGAGAGACACAUGCCAGGAGGGAGGCCAUGUGAAGGCACAUCAGCGGAAGACGGUCCAGUGGCUGGAGUGGGGCGUCUACUGGGGAGACAACUCCUAGGAUUGCUGGCAAAUACCAGAAGCUUGGAGAGGCAAGGAAGGAUUCUGCCGAGAGCCAUGAGAGAGAGCACCGCCUGACGGAGACCUUGACUUCAGACUUCUAGACUCUAGAGCUAAGACCAUAAAUGUUUGUUUUAAGCAA